rnacentral:rRNA from 1 species
AUUGAACGCUGGCGGCAGGCCUAACACAUGCAAGUCGAGCGGGGUUUUCGGACCUAGCGGCGGACGGGUGAGUAAUGCGUAGGAAGCUGCCCGAUAGAGGGGGAUACCAGUUGGAAACGACUGUUAAUACCGCAUAAUGUCUACGGACCAAAGUGUGGGACCUUCGGGCCACAUGCUAUCGGAUGCGCCUACGUGGGAUUAGCUAGUUGGUGAGGUAAUGGCUCACCAAGGCGACGAUCUCUAGCUGGUUUGAGAGGAUGAUCAGCCACACUGGAACUGAGACACGGUCCAGACUCCUACGGGAGGCAGCAGUGGGGAAUAUUGGACAAUGGGCGCAAGCCUGAUCCAGCCAUGCCGCGUGUGUGAAGAAGGCCUACGGGUUGUAAAGCACUUUCAGCGAGGAGGAAGGGUGGUGUGUUAAUAGCACAUCAUUUUGACGUUACUCGCAGAAGAAGCACCGGCUAACUCUGUGCCAGCAGCCGCAGUAA